rnacentral:rRNA from 1 species
AAUGAACGCUGGCGGCGUGCCUAACACAUGCAAGUCGGAUGUGCCCGCAAGGGUGCAUGGCAGACGGGUGAGUAACGCGUGGGGAAUCUACCUUUUAGUGGGGAAUAACGCUCCGAAAGGAGUGGUAAUACCGCAUGUGACCAUUGGCUGGGAUGCUGAUGGUGAAACCCUGGGACCUUCAGGCCAGGGGCUAGAAGAGGAUCCUGCGUCUGAUUAGCUAGUUGGCGGGGUAACGGCCCACCAAGGCGACGAUCAGUAGCCGGCCUGAGAGGGUGAUCGGCCACACUGGAACUGAGACACGGUCCAGACUCCUACGGGAGGCAGCAGUGAGGAAUCUUGCGCAAUGGGCGAAAGCCUGACGCAGCGACGCCGCGUGGAGGAUGACGGUUUUCGGAUUGUAAACUCCUGUUAAGCGGGAAGAAAGCCUUGUUUCUAAUACAAGCAAGGUAUGACGGUACCGCUAGAGAAAGACACCGGCUAACUUCG